rnacentral:rRNA from 1 species
AAGCUUGCUUUCGAUAGGCGUCGACCGGCGCACGGGUGAGUAACGCGUAUCCAACCUGCCCAUAACUAAGGGAUAAUCCGUAGAAAUGCGGUCUAAUACCUUAUGUGAUCCGAGGAAGACAUCUGAUUUGGAUUAAAGAUUUAUCGGUUAUGGAUGGGGAUGCGUCUGAUUAGAUUGUUGGCGGGGCAACGGCCCACCAAGUCUGCGAUCAGUAGGGGUUCUGAGAGGAAGGUCCCCCACAUUGGAACUGAGACACGGUCCAAACUCCUACGGGAGGCAGCAGUGAGGAAUAUUGGUCAAUGGGCGGGAGCCUGAACCAGCCAAGUAGCGUGCAGGAUGACGGCCCUAUGGGUUGUAAACUGCUUUUGUAUGGGGAUAAAUUGCUCCACGUGUGGAGUAUUGCAGGUACCAUACGAAUAAGGACCGGCUAAUUCCGUGCCAGCAGCCGCGGUAAUACGGAAGGUCCGGGCGUUAUCCGGAUUUAUUGNGUUUAAAGGGAGCGUAGGCCGUGGAUUAAGUGUGUUGUGAAAUGUAGGCGCUCAACGUCUGACUUGCAGCGCAUACUGGUCCACUAGAGUGCGCGCAACGCGGGCGGAAUUUGUCGUGUAGCGGUGAAAUGCUUAGAUAUGACGAAGAACCCCGAUUGCGAAGGCAGCUCGCGGGAGCGCAACUGACGCUGAAGCUCGAAAGUGCGGGUAUCGAACAG